CCUACGGGUGGCAGCAGUGAGGAAUAUUGGUCAAUGGACGCAAGUCUGAACCAGCCAUGCCGCGUGCAGGAAGACGGCUCUAUGAGUUGUAAACUGCUUUUGUACGAGGGUAAACUCAGACACGCGUAUCUGUCUGAAUGUACCGUACGAAUAAGGAUCGGCUAACUCCGUGCCAGCAGCCGCGGUAAUACGGAGGAUUCAAGCGUUAUCCGGAUUUAUUGGGUUUAAAGGGUGCGUAGGCGGUCGGAUAAGUUAGAGGUGAAAUCCCGAGGCUCAACUUCGGAAUUGCCUCUGAUACUGUUAGGCUAGAGAGUAGUUGCGGUAGGCGGAAUGUAUGGUGUAGCGGUGAAAUGCUUAGAGAUCAUACAGAACACCGAUUGCGAAGGCAGCUUACCAAGCUGCUUCUGACGUUGAGGCACGAAAGCGUGGGGAGCAAACAGGAUUAGAUACCCGUGUAGUC
rnacentral:rRNA from 1 species